UACGGAGGGGGCUAGCGUUGUUCGGAAUUACUGGGCGUAAAGCGCGCGUAGGCGGACCUGCAAGUCGGGGGUGAAAGCCCGAGGCUCAACCUCGGAACUGCCUUCGAUACUGCGGGUCUCGAGUCCGGGAGAGGUGAGUGGAAUUCCUAGUGUAGAGGUGAAAUUCGUAGAUAUUCGGAGGAACACCAGUGGCGAAGGCGGCUCACUGGCUCGGUACUGACGCUGAGGUGCGAAAGCGUGGGGAGCAAACAGG
rnacentral:rRNA from 1 species